GCCGGUGUAGCUCAGCUGGUAGAGCAACUGAUUUGUAAUCAGUAGGUCGGGGGUUCGAAUCCCUUCACCGGCU
rnacentral:tRNA from 1 species